UGGAUGGCGAGUUUGAUCCUGGCUCAGGAUAAACGCUGGCGGCGUGCCUAACACAUGCAAGUCGAACGAGCUUUCCUCUUUCGGGAGGAGAGCGAGUGGCGGACGGGUGAGUAACACGUGGGUGACCU
rnacentral:rRNA from 1 species